rnacentral:lncRNA from 1 species
UACAAAAGAGUUACGCUUCAUCAGCAACCAUUCCCUCGCAAAGCAUGCCUUGAAGAUCUCCAUAUUGGAUAUUCCAUACUUUUCCUUCACCAAUGCAGCAGGAUGGACUGUUCGUUUAUCGUAUGGAACUCUUAGUUCUUCCACAAGCCGUUGGCCAACAUGGAAAGUGGUGAAAGCCCGAACGAAAUCAGAUACUGAGACAUAUCUAUAAGGUUGGUUCUUCUUAUACCAGUAUUGUUCUUGGUCCUUCUUUGAGGUCACUUCUUGCAAAAAGUCUGCAACACCCUUUCUGUCUGGGCAUCUGAAC